AAACUUACCUGGCGGGGACGGAUCAUGACCACAAAGGUGCUUUUCCCAGGGCGAAGCUCAUCCAUUGCACUCUGGUUAUGAUUUCCCCCAAAUGCAGAGACUUGACUGCAUAAUUUGUGGUAACAGAGGACUGUCUUCAUGCUCUCCCUUG
rnacentral:snRNA from 1 species